CUCUGCUGAUUAAAACAGCCCAACCCUGACUCUGCAGCUGGGAGAGGAGCCCCAGCCCCAGGGUUUCCAGGUGUUCCAAUCAGUAUCAGGACUGAACACAGAGAACUCACCAUGGAGUCUGUGCUCGGCUGGGUUUUCCUUGUUGCUCUUUUAAAAGGUGUCCAGUGUGAGGUGCAGCUGGUGGAGUCUGGGGGAGACCUGGUGAAGCCUUGGGGGUCCCUGAGACUAUCCUGUACAGCCUCUGGAUUCAGCUUCAGUAGCUAUGGCAUGAGCGGGGUCCGCCAGGCUCCAGGGAAGGGGCUGCAGUGGGUCGCAUACAUUAGCUAUAGUGGUGGUAGCACAUACUACACAGACUCCAUGAAGGGCCGAUUCACCAUCUCCAGAGACAACAGCAAGAACACGUUCUACCUGCAGAUGAACAGCCUGAGAAGAGCUGAUGACACGGCCGUGUAUUACUGUGCAAGUGACACA